ACUCCUACGGGAGGCAGCAGUAGGGAAUCUUCCGCAAUGGACGCAAGUCUGACGGAGCAACGCCGCGUGAGUGACGAAGGUUUUCGGAUCGUAAAACUCUGUUGUGAGGGAAGAACACGUACCAAUUAACUACUGGUACCUUGACGGUACCUCACCAGAAAGCCACGGCUAACUACGUGCCAGCAGCCGCGGUAAUACGUAG
rnacentral:rRNA from 1 species